UCAAAGCCGUUCUAGAACGCGUAGACAAAAGCGUCAUGGAUGAGCAUCUCGCGCCUCCGCCACUAGAUUUAUCUGUCGACUGUCAAACCCAACCAUUCUUCUAACCUUCCGCUUGAAUUCCCCGCCUAUAUAAACCCCUCCGUUUCUUGUUCUUCUUCGGUGACCACAAGAGCAACGCAACCAUCGAUCCUUUCCUUGGUUCCCGAGAGCAACAGAGUUCUGUCGCGCCUGCGGUUGUUCUUUUGUGGCCGAGAUGCAGCGGAACAGCUCGUUCGGAACGUCGUGGGCGGACCAAUGGGACACCGGCGCCGACCCGAGCCCGCGAGCGCGCAGCAGCGGCAGCGACGGGAAGAAGCAGGGCGGCGGCGUGGAGAAGACCAAGGCGGCCGCCGCGACCGGGCUGAGGAAAGUGAAGGAGGGCACACAGCACGGGUUCCAGUGGAUCAAAGACAAGUACCAGAAGAAGAGCUCGAAGAACAACAACAGCAAGCAGAGCGGGUCCGAGAUAGCCGGGUACUGACUGACAGAUCAAUCACGACUACACGGGGAAUAUAUGGAGGUGUUUGUAAUGGAUGGAAUUUUUAGAAAUUAUUAGUACUCAGUAGUACUAUAUGUAACUAAUUAAUAUUCUUGUGUACACAUAUAUGCCCGCCAAGUUCUGUUCUUAGCCCUUCUCGUGUAUAAAAAGGAUUCAAUUUUCUUCUGUAAGUGGUGUGAUUAACAGUAAGUUAUACUCCUUCAGUUCCA